rnacentral:rRNA from 1 species
ACCAUGCAAGUCGAACGGUAGCACGGAGAGCUUGCUCUCGGGUGACGAGUGGCGGACGGGUGAGUAAUGUCUGGGAAACUGCCCGAUGGAGGGGGAUAACUACUGGAAACGGUAGCUAAUACCGCAUAAUGUCUCAAGACCAAAGAGGGGGACCUUCGGGCCUCUUGCCAUCGGAUGUGCCCAGAUGGGAUUAGCUAGUAGGUGGGGUAACGGCUCACCUAGGCGACGAUCCCUAGCUGGUCUGAGAGGAUGACCAGCCACACUGGAACUGAGACACGGUCCAGACUCCUACGGGAGGCAGCAGUGGGGUAUAUUGCACAAUGGGCGCAAGCCUGAUGCAGCCAUGCCGCGUGUAUGAAGAAGGCCUUCGGGUUGUAAAGUACUUUCAGCGAGGAGGAAGGCGUUGUGGUUAAUAACCUCAGCGAUUGACGUUACUCGCAGAAAAAGCACCGGCUAACUCCGUGCCAGCAGCCGCGGUAAUACGGAGGGUGCAAGCGUUAAUCGGAAUUACUGGGCGUAAAGCGCACGCAGGCGGUCUGUUAAGUCAGAUGUGAAAUCCCCGGGGCUCAACCUGGGAACUGCAUCUGAA